CAUUUAAUGAGCUUCCCUUCUGUUCUGUUCCCCAUUCUUGGCUCUCAAAUAUUAAGGAUGGAUGAGUUAACAGACCAGGAUUUCAAGAUGCUUAUAAGCUAUCUGGGAAGCCUUUGCUGCAGCCUCCUGUCAAUGAUGAGGUGACCAACAAUGUUCUACCUCAACACUAGUCCAGAAACAAAGAAACAUAAAGCCAGCCAACACUAGACAAAAUAAAAUUUGCUUUCUUGUAUCCUUUUCUUGGAUAUCUGCCACAACAAUAAAAAGACUAACUAGGACACCUUGAAGACUAACCUUCACGCUUCUUCUCUUAAUAACAAUAAGAUCGUCAGUUCUGGGAACCAUGAAAAUCAGAACAUAAGUAACAUUUAGAAAUGAAUGUAGA
rnacentral:lncRNA from 1 species